UACGAAGGGUGCAAACGUUGCUCGGAAUUAUUGGGCGUAAAGCGCACGUAGGCGGCCCAGCAAGUCGGAAGUGAAAUCCCACGGCUCAACCAUGGAAGUGCUUUCGAAACUGCUGGGCUUGAGUACAAAAGAGGAUCGCGGAAUUCCCGGUGUAGAGGUGAAAUUCGUAGAUAUCGGGAGGAACACCAGUGGCGAAGGCGGCGAUCUGGGUUGAUACUGACGCUGAGGUGCGAAAGCGUGGGGGGCAAACAGG
rnacentral:rRNA from 1 species